CCUACGGGCGGCAGCAGUGGGGAAUAUUGGACAAUGGGGGGAACCCUGAUCCGGCCAUGCCGCGUGUGUGAAGAAGGCCCUCGGGUUGUAAAGCACUUUCAGUGAGGAAGAACGCCUGGUGGUUAAUACCCAUCAGGAAAGACAUCACUCACAGAAGAAGCACCGGCUAACUCCGUGCCAGCAGCCGCGGUAAUACGGAGGGUGCGAGCGUUAAUCGGAAUUACUGGGCGUAAAGCGCGCGUAGGUGGCUUGAUAAGCCGGUUGUGAAAGCCCCGGGCUCAACCUGGGAACGGCAUCCGGAACUGUCAAGCUAGAGUGCAGGAGAGGAAGGUAGAAUUCCCGGUGUAGCGGUGAAAUGCGUAGAGAUCGGGAGGAAUACCAGUGGCGAAGGCGGCCUUCUGGACUGACACUGACACUGAGGUGCGAAAGCGUGGGUAGCAAACAGGAUUAGAUACCCCGGUAGUC
rnacentral:rRNA from 1 species